AAAAUAGUUUUUAUUGCAAAUAUCUUAACACACUUGAAAUAAGAUAAAACUGACUUAUAGAUAACCUUUCAGCAUGAUAUAGCAGCUUGUUUAAGUAAAUAAUUCCUUUACAUUGUUGAAAAAGUUCUA